rnacentral:rRNA from 1 species
UGGGGAAUCUUGCGCAAUGGACGAAAGUCUGACGCAGCCACGCCGCGUGAGUGAAGAAGGCCUUCGGGUUGUAAAGCUCUGUCGGAGGGGACGAAAAUACUUCGAGUUCAUAGCCCCAGGAACUGACGGUACCCUUAAAGGAAGCACCGGCUAACUCUGUGCCAGCAGCCGCGGUAAUACAGAGGGUGCAAGCGUUGCUCGGAAUCAUUGGGCGUAAAGGGCAAGUAGGUGGUCUCAUUUGUCUGAUGUGAAAUCCUUGGGCUUAACCCAAGAAGUGCGCCAGAAACGGUGAGACUCGAGUUUCGGAGAGGGUCGUGGAAUUCCCGGUGUAGCGGUGAAAUGCGUAGAGAUCGGGAGGAACACCAGAGGCGAAGGCGGCGACCUGGACGAAUACUGACACUCAACUGCGAAAGCGUGGGGAGCAAACAGGAUUAGAUACCCCGGUAGUCC